rnacentral:rRNA from 1 species
GUUGCUAACAGGAGAGCUGAGCACUCUGGCGAGACUGCCGCCGACAAGGCGGAGGAAGGUGGGGGAGUGACGUCAAGUCAUCAUGGCCUUUAUGCCCAGGGCUACACACGUGCUACAAUGGCCGGGCACAGACGGCAGCUUAGUGGCGACACUUGGCAAAUCCUCUAAAGCCGGUCCCAGUUCGGAUUGCAGUCUGCAACUCGACUGCAUGAAGCCGGAAUCGCUAGUAAUCGCAGAUCAGCCAAGCUGCGGUGAAUACGUUCCCGGGCCUU